AUUGAACGCUGGCGGCAUGCCUUACACAUGCAAGUCGAACGGUAACAGGUCUUCGGAUGCUGACGAGUGGCGAACGGGUGAGUAAUACAUCGGAACGUGCCUAGUAGUGGGGGAUAACUACUCGAAAGAGUGGCUAAUACCGCAUGAGAUCUACGGAUGAAAGCAGGGGAUCGCAAGACCUUGUGCUACUAGAGCGGCCGAUGGCAGAUUAGGUAGUUGGUGGGAUAAAAGCUUACCAAGCCGACGAUCUGUAGCUGGUCUGAGCGGACGAUCGGCCAAACUGGGACUGUGACACGGCCCAGCCUCCUACGGGAGGCAGCAGUGGGGAAUUUUGGACAAUGGGCGCAAGCCGGAGCCAGCAAUGCCGCGUGCAGGAUGAAGGCCUUCGGGUUGUAAACUGCUUUUGUACGGAACGAAAAGCCCUGGGUUAAUACCCUGGGGUCAUGACGGUACCGUAAGAAUAAGCACCGGCUAACUACGUGCCAGCCGCCGCCGUAACAC
rnacentral:rRNA from 1 species